UGUAGUUUUGUUUCUCCUGAAAAAAAUAAACUCUUUGGUAAAUGGGAGGAAAAGAGUGCGAUGUAUGCAAUGCUCAAGGUUUUCUCUCUUUUGUAAUGGCGGCUCGCCAUUUUCCUGCAUUUCUAGUGAAACCUUGAUAGCCACAGCAACAUUAGCUAAGCAAAAAAAAAAAAAUGUCUGUGCUCCAAAAUAAAACAAUUUAAUUUGAAAAAAUAAAUAUCGUCUUAAUCAGUGUUAUUUGUGAAAAUUAUUUUCAAUACACAAUGUGUAGUAGCACAAAUUCUUCGGCACGCCACAAAAAUUCCACCACCAUUUCUUUCCAUCAUCAAAAUGCACAACCUCAGCCUUGUGCAUUUAGAAAAAUUAAAAUAAAAAAAAUGAUACAAAACCACCACCAAUGGAUUUGGAAAAUAUAGUGGAGAUCAAUUCCAGACAUCAAUGACUGAGCACUGAGUUUACAGUUCGAAAUUUUCCUCCACGCCAUCCAGAACGAGUGAAACGAAUCUAAUGUUUAGUAGAGACUACAAUACUUGAGUGUGAUCCACAUUUCACAGACUUGUAGUACAAAACCAUCAUUCAACAAUUCUAUGUCGAGUAUAAAAAUGACGUCAGAGACUCCUUGCUCGCCACAGUAUUGGAUGCAGUCCGUUCGAGUGGCAAUCAAGAUGUGCAAGUUCGUAUUACAAAUACAUUGCUAGGAAAGCAUUUUGUUCCCCUCAACAGUUGUGUGCAUGAAGCGACUCUCCUUCGUUUAGUGAAAAAGAAUUUCCAAAAUUCCUGACGUAGAUGUAAGAUUUAAGAGAAAUUCAACGCCAACAUUCCUCAUAGAAGUCUGAAGUAAAGUGUCACACAAGACGUUCAUGUUUUGAUAUAUAAUUCGACUGAAUAAAUCUAAAUCUCUAACCAAAGUUUUAA